rnacentral:rRNA from 1 species
GUCGGCGACCGGCGCACGGGUGCGUAACGCGUAUGCAACCUACCCAUUACAGGGGGAUAACACUGAGAAAUCGGUACUAAUACCCCAUAACAUCCAGGGAGGCAUCUUCUUGGGUUGAAAACUCCGGUGGUAAUGGAUGGGCAUGCGUUGUAUUAGUUAGUUGGUGGGGUAACGGCUCACCAAGACGACGAUACAUAGGGGGACUGAGAGGUUAACCCCCCACAUUGGUACUGAGACACGGACCAAACUCCUACGGGAGGCAGCAGUGAGGAAUAUUGGUCAAUGGACGCAAGUCUGAACCAGCCAUGCCGCGUGCAGGAAGACGGCUCUAUGAGUUGUAAACUGCUUUUGUACGAGGGUAAACGCAGAUACGUGUAUCUGUCUGAAAGUAUCGUACGAAUAAGGAUCGGCUAACUCCGUGCCAGCAGCCGCGGUAAUACGUAGGGGGCAAGCGUUAUCCGGAUUUACUGGGUGUAAAGGGAGCGUAGACGGCGAUGCAAGCCAGAUGUGAAAGCCCGCGGCUCAACUGCGGUAGUGCAUUUGGAACUGUAUGGCUGGAGUGCAGGAGAGGCAGGCGGAAUUCCUAGUGUAGCGGUGAAAUGCGUAGAUAUUAGGAGGAACACCAGUGGCGAAGGCGGCCUGCUGGACUGUAACUGACGUUGAGGCUCGAAAGCGUGNGGAGCAAACAGGAUUAGAUACCCUGNUAGUCCACGCUGUAAACGA